CUCUUGUCGUAGUCUUUCUACAACGAAUUGUAAUGCGAGGCACCACUGUACUUGUCUUUCAGGGUCCACAGCAACAUCAUCCAUUUCCGUAAUCCAGAAACCCACCUUUGUAAACCUAACAGAAGGGUCAAUGCUGAAUAUGGAAUGCUGGGUUGACGGAAACCUCACUCGCACAUGGUCUAUCACCUGGCAUAAUGAUGAAUGUGAUGGAGAGAAGAAAUUAACAAAUACAAGCCGAAUUCUAAUAACUCCAAAUGAAGCAGAGAAAAGCAGCCACUUUAGUCUGAAGAGAGCAGAUAUACAGGAUGCUGGGAACUACGUGUGUUGUUUUGGCAAUAUAGAGACCACCAAGGCUGCUGAUAACGGGACACGAGUGGCCAUUCGCGAAAUAACUGAUCUGAUGGUGAACCAGACACCUGGAGAUAUCGAAAUAAUGGAAGGGGAGAACAUUACUCUUGAGUGUCGAUUCAAGACGGUCGGCAACCUCAGCAACAUGUACGUACGGUGGUACAAAAAUGAGACCUUGCUGAGUAACCAAACGGAGGAACAAACCAUAAAUGAGGAUCUGGAAGAGGGUUUUUCUUCUCUCACUCUCUGGAAAGCUCACACGAGCCGUUCAGGAAUGUACAGGUGCGAGGUGGGCGUCAGGGGAAGGAAUCUGACCGGAUCCGGGAAGGAAUCUCGCGUUAUCAUCUCAGGACAGCUGCCCUCUGAGCAGAAGACAAAUCCAGACCAAAAGCCUGGCUCUGAAAACCACAAGGAAGCUGGUGCUGGAUUCGAAAUCGGAGUCGCAGCCGGAGCUGCCGUGGGGGUCUUCCUCUUCUUGCUGCUGAUCGGGGUCUUCGUGUGGAGACAGAAGAAGAGGGGUAAGAAGAAGGGAAGCCAGUCGCUUAGAGGAAAGCCUGCCUUGAAGAGAAAGAUCUUUUGGCCUGCUUGCGGAAGGACAGCAAAGAGGGGGCCAAGACUGGUCUCCAGUGGGAGGGAGUUCCGGAGUCUCUGGGAGCAGCCACAGAGAAGGGCCUCUCCUGUGUCCUCACCAAAUACAACUGUAUAA
rnacentral:lncRNA from 1 species